GAUGAACGCUGGCGGCGUGCCUAACACAUGCAAGUCGAGCGAUCUUCUUCGGAAGAGAGCGGCGGACGGGUGAGUAACGCGUGGGUAACCUGCCCUGUACACACGGAUAACAUACCGAAAGGUAUGCUAAUACGAGAUAAUAUGCUUUUAUCGCAUGGUAGAAGUAUCAAAGCUCCGGCGGUACAGGAUGGACCCGCGUCUGAUUAGCUAGUUGGUAAGGUAACGGCUUACCAAGGCGACGAUCAGUAGCCGACCUGAGAGGGUGAUCGGCCACAUUGGAACUGAGACACGGUCCAAACUCCUACGGGAGGCAGCAGUGGGGAAUUUUGCGCAAUGGGGGAAACCCUGACGCAGCGACGCCGCGUGGAGGACGAAGGGCCUUCGGGUCGUAAACUCCUGUCAGAGGUGAAGAAUGCCCGCAAGGGCUUGACGGUAACCUCAGAGGAAGCCCCGGCUAACUACGUGCCAGCAGCCGCGGUAAACGUAGCGUGA
rnacentral:rRNA from 1 species